rnacentral:rRNA from 1 species
UACUCCUACGGGAGGCAGCAGUGGGGAAUUUUGGACAAUGGGCGAAAGCCUGAUCCAGCCAUGCCGCGUGCAGGAUGAAGGCCCUCGGGUUGUAAACUGCUUUUGUACGGAACGAAAAGACUCUUUCUAAUAAAGAGGGUCCAUGACGGUACCGUAAGAAUAAGCACCGGCUAACUACGUGCCAGCAGCCGCGGUAAUACGUAGGGUGCAAGCGUUAAUCGGAAUUACUGGGCGUAAAGCGUGCGCAGGCGGUUAUGUAAGACAGAUGUGAAAUCCCCGGGCUCAACCUGGGAACUGCAUUUGUGACUGCAUAGCUAGAGUACGGUAGAGGGGGAUGGAAUUCCGCGUGUAGCAGUGAAAUGCGUAGAUAUGCGGAGGAACACCGAUGGCGAAGGCAAUCCCCUGGACCUGUACUGACGCUCAUGCACGAAAGCGUGGGGAGCAAACAGGAUUAGAUACCCUGGUAGUCCACGCCCUAAACGAUGUCAACUGGUUGUUGGGUCUUCACUGACUCAGUAACGAAGCUAACGCGUGAAGUUGACCGCCUGGGGAGUACGGCCGCAAGGUUGAAACUCAAAGGCCACAUGCUCCACCGCUUGUGGCUGCUGCCUCCCGUAGGAGUA